rnacentral:rRNA from 1 species
GACGAACGCUGGCGGCGUGCUUAACACAUGCAAGUCGAACGGGUCUGCCCUGUUUUUUGCGGGGUGGGUCAGUGGCGAACGGGUGAGUAACACGUGAGUAACCUGCCCCUCACUUCUGGAUAACCGCUUGAAAGGGUGGCUAAUACGGGGUGUUCUGGCUGUGCCGCAUGGUGUGGCUGGGAAAGAUUCACUUUUGUGGUGUUUUGGUGGGGGAUGGGCUCGCGGCCUAUCAGCUUGUUGGUGGGGUGAUGGCCUGCCAAGGCUUUGACGGGUAGCCGGCCUGAGAGGGUGGGCGGUCACACUGGGACUGAGAUACGGCCGAGACUCCUGCGGGAGGCAGCAGUGGGGGGUAUUGCACAAUGGGCGGAAGCCUGAUGCAGCGACGUCGCGUGAGGGAUGGAGGCCUUCGGGUUGUGAACCUCUUUCGCCGGUGAAGAAGGUCCUGCUCUUUGUGGUGGGGUUGACGGUAGCCGGGUUAUGAAGCGCCGGCUAACUACGUG